UGCCGGGAAGGAUACGUC
rnacentral:rRNA from 1 species